rnacentral:rRNA from 1 species
UACGGGGGGGGUAAGCGUUGUUCGGAAUUACUGGGCGUAAAGGGCUCGUAGGCGGCCAACUAAGUCGGGCGUGAAAUCCCUCAGCUUAACUGGGGAACUGCGUCCGAUACUGGAUGGCUUGGAUUUGGGAGAGGGAUGCGGAAUUCCAGGUGUAGCGGUGAAAUGCGUAGAUAUCUGGAGGAACACCGGUGGCGAAGGCGGCAUCCUGGACCAGUAUUGACGCUGAGGAGCGAAAGCCAGGGGAGCAAACGGG